GAGCUAAUACCUGAUAACAUGUUGAACCGCAUGGUUCAACAGUGAAAGACGGUCUUGCUGUCACUUAUAGAUGGAUCCGCGUCGCAUUAGCUAGUUGGUAAGGUAACGGCUUACCAAGGCAACGAUGCGUAGCCGACCUGAGAGGGUGAUCGGCCACACUGGAACUGAGACACGGUCCAG
rnacentral:rRNA from 1 species